rnacentral:rRNA from 1 species
GACGAACGCCGGCGGCGUGCCUAAUACAUGCAAGUAGAACGCUGAAGAGAGGAGCUUGCUCUUCUUGGAUGAGUUGCGAACGGGUGAGUAACGCGUAGGUAACCUGCCUUGUAGCGGGGGAUAACUAUUGGAAACGAUAGCUAAUACCGCAUAACAAUGGAUGACACAUGUCAUUUAUUUGAAAGGGGCAAUUGCUCCACUACAAGAUGGACCUGCGUUGUAUUAGCUAGUAGGUGAGGUAACGGCUCACCUAGGCGGCGAUACAUAGCCGACCUGAGAGGGUGAUCGGCCACACUGGGACUGAGACACGGCCCAGACUCCUACGGGAGGCAGCAGUAGGGAAUCUUCGGCAAUGGGGGCAACCCUGACCGAGCAACGCCGCGUGAGUGAAGAAGGUUUUCGGAUCGUAAAGCUCUGUUGUAAGUCAAGAACGAGUGUGAGAGUGGAAAGUUCACACUGUGACGGUAGCUUACCAGAAAGGGACGGCUAACUACGUGCCAGCAGCCGCGGUAAUACGUAGGUCCCGAGCGUUGUCCGGAUUUAUUGGGCGUAAAGCGAGCGCAGGCGGUUUGGUAAGUCUGAAGUUAAAGGCUGUGGCUCAACCAUAGUUCGCUUUGGAAACUGUCAAACUUGAGUGCAGAAGGGGAGAGUGGAAUUCCAUGUGUAGCGGUGAAAUGCGUAGAUAUAUGGAGGAACACCGGUGGCGAAAGCGGCUCUCUGGUCUGUAACUGACGCUGAGGCUCGAAAGCGUGGGGAGCGAACAGG